CCACGGACCAGCGCCUGCCUCUCGCUCCCUGCUUGUUUUCCCGGGUGUUUCAGGUCAGACAUGGACAUAACUUCUACUGGACUGGCCCUUCACCAUGAGAACAAAUAAUCCUAUUGAUCUGGCAUUGCUGUCUUCAAGUAAGAAAAUAUCAAAAUGCUUCACUAGUCUUCUUACUACAGAGCGGAAAGGAUGACAAUUCAUCAUCUACUUGAUUACUUUCAAGAAAGCAAUGAAAUUACAUUAAAAAUUGUACUACAACUGCUGUUGUUUUGAACUUCUGGCAGUGUGUCCUCUGACAAUACUGACAUAGCUAAUGUUAAUUUUGGAAGGUACCUUCCUGUCUCACAAUUUAACGGAUAGUACAAGUGAAAAAAUGCUUGUACCUAACCUUCCAACUCAUUUACCGCAUCAAACAGUGAAGUCUGCUACAGUUAAGAGUCAUUUGGCUUAAGAUUAUUAAACCUUCAUUUACAAAAUUUGUCAAAGAAAAAGUUUGGAAUAAUAGGAAAGAUUUUAUUUUACCAAGCUUGGACAUGUAGAGGUUUUGAGCACUCUUUUCAGAACAUAUUUAUCUCUAUAUUCUGCAACUAAAGGCAUCAUAAAAUGUUUUCCAGCUUUUAAAAAUAAUUUUUCUACAUUAGGAGAAUAUCACUGGUUGCAUCCUUUCAGGAUAGUGAAGAUUGGAUAAAUGGAGAUAAGCAAGUGUCUGAAUAAAACUUUUCUUUCAUAAUGUAGUAAAAUCCUUUCAAGGUAUAUAACAAUCUGAUCUUGAAUGUGAAGGCAAGAUACAUGAAAUAAAGGGUAAGUUUCAAGAAAUAAUGGAUGACAAAAUAUUGGCCAUUAAAGUAACUCCUGCAUAGAAACAUGGGAGUUUCAUUCCACAGUAUACAUUAGCUCCCAAACAUGUAAUAAAACAGGUUCAUGUCUAUAUAUAGAAUAUCCUAAACUUCCUCAGCUACAUUAAAUUUCUUAAAAAUUUAGUGAUUUUUAGAAAAUUACAAUGAAAAGUUGAAACUCAACCAAAAAAAAAAACAUAUGACAAAGAUUAUGCUUCAGGAGAUCUGUAUUAGAAACUGAAUUUAAUGUUUCAUCUCAAAGACCAAUUUUUCUAGUUCUUAAAAUUUGUGGUUGGAUUAUGAACACAUCUAAGAUAAAUGAGGUAGUUAGAAUAGUAUUUUCCUUUUGUUAACAGACUCAUAGAAACCUGCCAAAUACUGACCCUGUUAAGGCUGAGCUUCAAAUAAAAGUUGUACGGGGAAAGAGUGGUAUGGAUUUACUAAAGAUUGUUAAAAUAUAUUAAACCAGAUCCUAACAUAACUCUGAAUAACACAAUCCAUCUUUUAAGAACUGUGUAUUUGAGGCCAACGUAAUACAAACUUGCGAGAAGAUUUAAUGAAAUGCUAAAGGAAAUGUUUUUUCACUCAAAUCCCACUUCACAUCCUGACCCUUAUCUUCCAUGUGGUUAUGUUUUAUUUCCAUUCAAGAAAGGCAGUCAUCUAGAUAUGUAACUGUUAAUGUUUUGACUUGCAAAUUGAAUGUGGCUUUAGCAAGCAGCAUGAUCUCCCCCAGGGUACAAGCUGGAAUAUUUCUUUUUACUUGUCAUAGAUAGUUUCCUCAGUGGUUUUUUUUGAGUCUGCCAUUUUCACUUCUGGAGUUGUGGGUAUUGCACAGCUCAGUGUUGCUGGCUGUAUAACAAAACUUGAUAUUUGUAACUAAGUUAGACUAAGUAUUCCCAUUGAAGAUAGUUAUCUUUCCCAUUCCACUUAGGUGCUGCAGAAUGAAUAGCAUCCUGCUAAUACUUUCAAUAGAAAGGUUGAUAGUAUUUCAGUACUUUAUGUCUGAAUGAUAUUGCUGAUUAAAUAACACAAAAUUGUAUUUAAUUUGAAAUAUAAUCCCUAUUAUUUCCAAAACCUGGCAAUCAGUAGUAUACUUUUACUAAUAAAAGAUCAGUUCUAGCAGAAUGGCUAAUGGUAUUAUUAAUUAAAUGAGGUCUCACAGCAGUACUCUAUAAGCACGUUCAUUAAAAACUGUGAAAUAGGAAUUUUUAACUGAUUCAUCCUACUCCACUGCUCAGACCAGCCUCUUUAUAUCCCUGUACCCUUGAGUUCCACUGAAGGAUCAACUACUGAUCACCUCAACACAGAUACUAUCAGUCUGCAGCUACUGUACUACUUUACUAUGUAAAUAAUCCUGCUGAUAUAAUAAGAUGAAGUGAGGGUUGAUUCUGUCAUCAUUACAUCAUAUUAUGCUCCUAUACCUUAUUUUUUAAAAUUUGACUGUGAGAUUCCAAACAAUUGACUACACCACUGUAUACUAGAAAUAAUCUCUGACAUAUUUUCUUAGCUUUAGGUCAACUAGUGGAAAACAUUGUGAUGAACACAUCUCACCAGGUGCAUAGUACAGUUUGUAGGACUGGCCUUCUUGCUUCCUGUAUUAAGAUCUCAACUUCUAAGUUAAGAUGAAACACAUCUUCCAAAAAAACAGGUGUUUUCUGGAACAUGUAUGUAGGAAUGCGACCUUAUUUCUCUAUUAUACUGUAUGUUAGACUCAGACUUUGAAGCACCUUUCUUUUCCAGGUUAUGCUGAAUACUAGGUACAUAAAUUGUGCUUAACUGCUUCCAUGAUUCAGAAGAUCAUGACUUGUGGGUCACCUUUUGGUAUAGAAGACUUUAGAUUCGAAAUAUUCACUGUCAAUGGUUUAUACCUUUCCUCAAUUCCCGUAAGUGAAUAUUAUGAAUAUACAUACAUGGUAGACAUAAAGCACAAAAAAGCAUGUCAGGAAAUAAGAGAAUGUGUAUUGUUUCCACUAUGGCUUAAAUGUGCAAUGGAUUGUAAUUUUGCUCACAUAUUCUUUUAUUCCCACGAAAAAAUCCAGUGGGAAACAAUAUAAUUUAAAGAAAACAAGUACAUUGCUUGUUUGUCAGUUGCUUGGGGUUUUUUAUUUCCACAUUACUAUAUUUUCCUUCUCUUGCUAACUAUUGUCCAUCAUUUUUCAUCUUAUAUAAUAACUCUUAUAUCAAACUGGAAAAACAGAUUUCCAUUUUUCUUGUAUUUAUGUAAUUGAAUGCCAUCAAUCAGUUUCCACCAUAGAAGAUCUAGACAUAAAAGUAAGAUUAAGCAUUCUUUGCUCUCUUAGGAAAUUGUUCAUACUUCAGGGAAUUUAAGCAUAAUGAACUUCUAAAAUCUCCUCAAAGGAAAACUGGAACACGGUGGAGGAGUUAGUUUCUGUAUUCCACUUAUUUCAAUGCAGGUUGAUAAAACUACGAAGUAGUAUUUUCUACAUUUUGGUAAUUACUUUUUAAUUAAAUUCCUGACAGGCUGAAGUCACUACCCUUGUUUAUGCACGCCUACAUAAUAAUCUUUUAGUGAGCUUUGUUCUCAGCACAGCUGCCAGACUGGAAGCUCUGGAGACCAAAAUUACCUGCCACACAACAAAUGUGGCACUAGCAGUGACAAUUAAAGGACACUAGACAGAAGUCUACAUAAUA